CGACGGUGAGUAACACGUAUGCAAUCCACCUGUAACAGGGGAGUAACCCGGAGAAAUCCGACUAAUACCCAUAAUAUGGGCGCUCCGCAUGGAGAGUCCAUUAAAGAGAGCAAUCUUGGUUACAGACGAGCAUGCGCUCCAUUAGCCAGUUGGCGGGGUAACGGCCCACCAAGGCGACGAUGGAUAGGGGUUCUGAGAGGAAGGUCCCCCACAUUGGAACUGAGACACGGUCCAA
rnacentral:rRNA from 1 species